GAUGAACGCUGGCGGCGUGCCUAAUACAUGCAAGUCGAGCGAACGGACGAGAAGCUUGCUUCUCUGAUGUUAGCGGCGGACGGGUGAGUAACACGUGGAUAACCUACCUAUAAGACUGGGAUAACUUCGGGAAACCGGAGCUAAUACCGGAUGAUAUUUUGAACCGCAUGGUUCAAAAGUGAAAGACGGUCUUGCUGUCACUUAUAGAUGGAUCCGCGCUGCAUUAGCUAGUUGGUAAGGUAACGGCUUACCAAGGCAACGAUGCAUAGCCGACCUGAGAGGGUGAUAGGCCACACUGGAACUGAGACACGGUCCAGACUCCUACGGGAGGCAGCAGUAGGGAAUCUUCCGCAAUGGGCGAAAGCCUGACGGAGCAACGCCGCGUGAGUGAUGAAGGUCUUCGGAUCGUAAAACUCUGUUAUUAGGGAAGAACAUAUGUGUAAGUAACUGUGCACAUCUUGACGGUACCUUAUCAGAAAGCCACGGCUAACUACGUG
rnacentral:rRNA from 1 species